GACGAACGCUGGCGGCGUGCUUAACACAUGCAAGUCGAACGGAAAGGCCCUGCUUUUGUGGGGUGCUCGAGUGGCGAACGGGUGAGUAACACGUGAGUAACCUGCCCUUGACUUUGGGAUAACUUCAGGAAACUGGGGCUAAUACCGGAUAGGAGCUCCUGCUGCAUGGUGGGGGUUGGAAAGUUUCGGCGGGUUGGGUUGGACGCGCGGCUUAUCAGCUUGUUGGUGGGGUAGUGGCUUACCAAGGCUUUGACGGGUAGCCGGCCUGAGAGGGUGACCGGCCACAUUGGGACUGAGAUACGGCCCAGACUCCUACGGGAGGCAGCAGUGGGGAAUAUUGCACAAUGGGCGGAAGCCUGAUGCAGCAACGCCGCGUGCGGGAUGACGGCCUUCGGGUUGUAAACCGCUUUCGCCUGUGACGAAGCGUGAGUGACGGUAAUGGGUAAAGAAGCACCGGCUAACUACGUG
rnacentral:rRNA from 1 species